AUGCGAGUGACUAAGCGUCAUUCACGAUCAUGCGGACCAGAAUCAGCCACAAGAUCCAAACAUAUUCCACGUGUCAUCAUCAUAUCAACCCAGUGUUUUACUACCCAGUUGCGUGGAACAGGUCUAAAGGUGUCUUUACCAUUCACCCGCUAUAUCCGUUUUUUUACGACUUUGAGAUUUGAUCUUCGAACAAGAACCUGUGUUAAUAGGCUUCCAAAUUGA